rnacentral:lncRNA from 1 species
GUUCAUUACGAAUUGCUGCCCUUUUUGUUUUAAUUAUCCUAAGCAUUAGCUAUAGUUUGGAUCUUUUGAUUUAUUGAUCAUGGGUGCUUUUAUUCAGAGUUGGUAAAAGUAAAUCUUCUAUAAAGCAACUAAUACUUGACUUCUAUUGUGUGAGCAUUAGAUUUUUGAAAUGCUGGAUUUCAAACUACAAUCUUUGCAAAAUUCAGAAGAUAGCCCAAUAGGGAAGAGAAGUUUCUAAAUUUUGAAUACAUGCACAUAUAAUACAAUUAGAUAUCCAAUGAUUUCCAUUCUGUUAAAGGAAGUAGAUAUGGCUUGAAGAGUAAAACAUGAAUGUAUAUCUUUGGUUGUUCAGGGGCAUAUAAAAGGUGAAAAGUUGGUAGGGCUGGCCUUGUCCUUUGUUAAAUAUUAUAAAGAUAGACUUUGUUAGUGACGGUUGUUGACUUGCUGCUAUGUAUGUAACUUACACAGAUUGCUUGUGGUACCUCCUUUACUGGAAAAAAGCUGUUUACUUCAAUUGUUUAUGUGCUUGUUAAAAAUGUUAUAUUUGCAACUUCUGCCUUGCAUUGAUAGUAUUAUUUUUCUUAGUCAUCAAGUCAGGAUACAACAGCUCUCUUUUGGUUGAAUUCACAAUCGACUGAAAAGGUAAAUGCAAAAUUCAGUGCUCAAGAAGUUGGCAGUGAUGUGGUGUAAAGGAAAGCAAAGGAAAAAAAAAAUUCAUUCAGCCUAAUCUUCAGCUUUUACUUUCAUUUUGUUGAUUUGAGCACUGCUGGAUAAGACUACUGUUACAAAAACUCAUAAAAUUGACUGGUUAUUAUGGAAAGAAAAACAAUGGUUUUACAAUUUUUUCAGCAGAAUGCCACUUGUUCAUAUAACGGCUAGGUAUAAGCUACCUGGUAGAGUGUCUAUAAGGAUAAAUGGUUGGUAUGAGAUAAUUGUUGGCUUUUUAAGAGUUUAUUUUAUCAAUGAUCUGACGCUUUGUUUGCAUUCCGAAGAAUAAUCAGUUUGGAGCUUUCAACACAGCCUACAAUAUAUUUUUUACUGAGUCUCUCUUGGUGAGCUAAGUAAUUCAUUACUAAUGUUUUACCAUCGAUUCUUUUUCUUGAAGGUUGUGAUAGAGCCCCAAUCAAUUACACCUAUUCUAGAAGGUUCAAGAAGGCUGUGGGAAGUAACAAAUUAUGUUGACUAAAGAUGACAUGGCUAGAGUUAGUUACAAAUAGGGUUUAUAAAUAGAAUAGAGGAAUGGAGUCGGGGGAUAGGAAAAAAAGAUUGUGAGUGAAGUUAUAUUAGGAGAGUAAGGCCCUCUCGAGUGGCCACUGUUCGUUUCUAUUUUUGAGUUUUAAUACCCGUUCCAUCAAUAUAAAAGAACUUUUUCCUGCAUUUUCUCCUGUUCGUUCUUGUUGCUACAGGUUGGAACCUAUCAAUUGGUAUCAGAGCACACCAAUCAUCCACCACAGCCGUGACUCUUACUAAUCGAGUUGCAGAGUUAGAACAAAAAGUGGAGAGCCAUUACCAUGACAUACAGACGGGGAUUGAAGCACUAUGUUCGGAAUUUCAAUUGAUGCACUCAGGGAUGAUGGACAAGUUCGAAUUGCUGUUGCGAACUUGGAAAAAUCAAGAAAAGGGGAGAAAGGAAAAGGGCCCUGCUAUUGGAGAAUCACUGGUGAUCUCUACUGAUUCUGGGUUAACUGAAAUCCGACCAAGUCCUAACCAAAACAGUGGAGGAGGUUUAUGGGCUGAAGGGAGGAUAGAAUCUCGAAUCAGACGGCUAGAGAUGCCGGUGUUCGAAGGGACUGAUCCAGAUGGUUGGAUUUUUUGGGUGGAGCGAUAUUUCCUCAUUAAUAGGCUGGUUGAGGAAGAGAAAGUGAAAGUAGCUACUGUUUGUUUCAAUGGCAAGGCACUAGCUUGGUACAAAUGGGAAGAAAAACGGCGGCCAAUGAGAAACUGGGAGGAGUUGAAAGUACAGUUGCUGCGACGGUUUCGGCCAUCACAAGAAGGGUCUCUUUAUGCCCAGUUUUUGUCCCUCAGGAAGAGCUCUAUCGUUUGAAAAUAUUGCUGGCGGCUUGAAACCUUGGCUUCGCCAUUAACAGAGGUCUCUGAGGAGAUUUUGGAGUGCAAUUUUUUGAAUGGGUUAAACCCAACAAUAUGGGCUGAAGUUAACUUAUUCUGACCCGUGGGCCUAGAGCAAAUAAUGGAAGUAGCCCAAAUGAUUGAAACUCGGAAUCUAAUAACCCAAAAGGGCCCAUGGCAGGAUGACCCAAUUAAACCCAAAAGUAUCCCCUUUCACAACCCAAAUCCACCCCCCUUCACUCAACUCAAAUCUAACCCAGCUUCCCAGCCCUGUUAACAAGCAAUCAGUACCCUUAAACCUUAUCCCGACUCGUCCAAACCACUACAAACAACUCACAGACGCAGAAAUUCAGACAAAGAGAGAACAAGGCUUAUGCUAUCGUUGUGAUAAGAAAUAUACAACUGCACACAAGUUUAAAAAUAAGGAGUUGCAAGUUCUUGUAAUUAGAGAGCUGGAAGAGGUGAUGGACAGCAAAGUCAUGACCAACGGUAGUGAGAGGGAGGAACUUGUUUCGGGCAAGCAAGAGCUGAACGGGUUAGGAUGCUGGGCCAGCAACAAUCAAGUAUGCUUUCCACCUUGAGGACAAGGUGACUGAAAUGGGAGGGGUAUUGAUAGAGCUCCAAUCAAUUACACCUAUUCUAGAAGGUUCAAGAAGGCUAUGGGCAGUAACAAAUUAUGUUGAGUAAAGAUGACAUGGCUAGAGUUAGUUACGAAUAGGAUUUAUAAAUAGAAUAGAGGAAUGGAGUCGGGGGAUAGGAAAAAAAGAUUGUGAGUGAAGUUAUAUUAGGAGAGUAAGGCCCUCUCGAAUGGCCACCGUUCGUUUCUAUUUUUGAGUUUUAUACCCGUUCCAUCAAUAUAAAAGAACUUUUUCCUGCAUUUUCUCCUGUUCUUUCUUGUUGCAACAGGUUGGAACCUAUCAGGUUGAUCAGUCUUAAUGUUUGACAGCGAAUCUGGGACUUCUCAGAGCAGACAAAACAGUUAUUCAUGAAAAAUAGAUAGUUAUUUAGGGAGUCAGGCCACUCAGAUGAAGAGGUACUUAAAUAUGUUACUGUUGUUGAAUGUUUAUGUUUGCUAUGAUCAGAGGCUGUUGAGAUAUGUGCGGAAGUUUGCAAACCUGUGAUAAACAUAAUGCUUACCUAGCCCAUGUUUGGCCUCCAUUCUUAUCUCAUUCUCAUUCUUUUUUCUCUCUCUUAUUUUCAACGACACAAUCUUCCAUAAAAUAAUAUUACACACAAAUAAAAAAAAUUUCAUUCUUUUUCGACCACACAUUUUUCAAAAAAACACUAUUCCAUCCAUUAAAAUUAGCUAAGAAUGGGGGCCAAACACCCGCCUAGUCUCUAUGGGAAAACAGAUGUGACAUGAAGUUUAUCUUAUUUGAUUAAAAUAAAUGUUUCAUUUAAGUCAAGGGCAAAGUAGAAUUUGUAACAAAAAAUAUUCACAAUAGAAGGAAAAUGCAUUUGUUUUACAACUGUGAAUUAUGUGUAUUACUGUCGUGCAUUUGCAAUAGAGCAGAAAUGAUGUCUGGGAUGUAUGUAUCAAAAGCACAUGUACUGGUAGGCAUCUGUUAGCUGCUCAAAAAUUAUGCUUGCUAAGUACUAGCUAUUUUCUAUUUUUCUUAGUUACUGCAUUUGUAGAUGGAUGUAUCAGUUUCUAAAAAUUGAUUUGUUUUAUUGCUUCAUUUCUUCUCUUUUACUGAGUAAUUUCAUGCACGAGUACACUGCGUGUUAUUGCCUAUGCAAUUGACCUGUGCUUUUCUGUAUGUGAUGUUGUAUUAUAAUCAGCAUUUGGACUUGUGCUUUUAGCAUAAAGCGUUCAUGGUUUUGGCCUGGGAAUUCUGACUCUUGAUGAACUUCUGGUUUCUGUCUUUCUGAAAAUGAAUUAUCAUUGAUGUUCUGGUUUUUGUCUUGCUCAGUCUUCUAAUUUUGGUUGGAAUACUUUUAGGAUGGAUAUCUAUAAUCAAUAUUCUCAUUUUGAUUAUAAAACAUCAUCUGGGUCAUGAUGCCCUCGAACUUUUAUGCUUUGGAUUUGGAUAUAUUUCCUUAUCUUGUUUGAUAUCUAAUUGCUCUCUAUGUUCUUGUUUGGCAUUUUUGUAAGUAUAUUGUUUUGGAGUUGCAAGUCUAUGGGUUUCCCUUAUUCUAAGGCUAGAGAAAAGGGAAAAGAGGAUAUGAUGGUGGAACAGCCCAGGAUUGAUGUUCCCAAGCCAAAUUUUGAGACCAGGGGGUAAGGAUCAUUGUUUUACUAUCAAAAGAGAAAAAAUAAUAAUAAUAAUAAAUAAAUAAAGCUAGUUUGUAUUCUAGAAAUGAGCACAAUCCACCACUUGGUAGGGUCUUUUACUCUUAGGACAGCUAUUAACGAGGGAAAUGCUUUUCUUAAUAUGAAAUUUAGCCUAAACUGUCUCCGGAGCCAAUAAAGUACAUAACCAGGCGCACGAUAACAUGAAGUUUGAAGUGGCACAUAAGAUAUAUAAUUGUCUAUCUUUAUGCUUUAGUUUCUAUUUAAGAAAGUUGGCUAAGUUUUUUCUUUUAGACUUUCAUUAAUCAGGUGUCACGUCACGCGUCCCCCUCUAAAAGUUUGUAUUUUGUUUUUGUUUUUAGCAUCAAUAAAACUCUACCUUUAUGGAUAUAUACUUGGAUGUACGAUGAAGCGAAAUACAAAGUUGGUACAUGAGAUACCGUACGAUGAAGUCAAGUAGUUCCCUUCCCCUCCCUUAAACGUAAAGAAUCCACGUUUGAUUUUAUUUACAAAUUCUGAGUGUCCAAUGUAUUUAUAAAGUUUAAUUACUAGAACUUGCUAAUGAAAUGCUAUUAUUGGUAACAUAAUUGUAAGGAACUUUCUGUACUUAUAAAUAAAUGUCAAAUACUUGUGUGGUUGGAUAA